CCCCAUAACACCUUCAGAAAACAUAAAAACAAGCUCAGGAUCUUCACUUACCUCUUGAAACCAAGAAGAUGAACGAUCCUCACGUGGAGUUUUGGAGCAACUCUCCUUCAAACUCUCCAACCUUCACAACUUUGAGUUUUUAGCUUAAAACCUUCAAAAUACCAUAAAAACUAAUCAAAUCUUUGCAUGAUUGAAUGAAAACAUGAAAGAACACUCAUAAAGGGCAGGGUCU
rnacentral:lncRNA from 1 species